GAUCAUGGCUCAGGACGAACGCUGGCGGCGUGCCUAACACAUGCAAGUCGAGCGAAUGAAGUUCCUUCGGGAACGGAUUUAGCGGCGGACGGGUGAGUAACACGUGGGCAACCUGCCUCAUAGAGGGGAAUAGCCUUCCGAAAGGGAGAUUAAUACCGCAUAAGAUUGUAGUACCGCAUGGUACAGCAAUUAAAGGAGCAAUCCGCUAUCAGAUGUGCCCAAAUGGGAUUAGCUAGUAGGUGAGGUAAAGGCUCACCUAGGCGACGAUCUCUAGCUGGUCUGAGAGGAUGAUCAGCCACAUUGGGACUGAGACACGGCCCAGACUCCUACGGGAGGCAGCAGUAGGGAAUAUUGCACAAUGGAGGAAACUCUGAUGCAGCCAUGCCGCGUGUGUGAAGAAGGCCUUCGGGUUGUAAAGCACUUUCAGAGGGGAGGAGAAUGACGUUACCCUCAGAAGAAGCACCGGCUAACUCCGUG
rnacentral:rRNA from 1 species